AUUGAACGCUGGCGGUAUGCUUAACACAUGCAAGUCGAACGGCAACAUAAUCUUCGGAUUGAUGGCGAGUGGCGGACGGGUGAGUAAUAUAUAGGAAUCUGCCUUGUAGUGGGGGAUAACUAUCCGAAAGGAUAGCUAAUACCGCAUAAUGAUUACGGUUUAAAGCAGGGGAUCUUCGGACCUUGCGCUACAAGUUGAGCCUAUACAAGAUUAGCUAGUUGGUGGGGUAAAGGCCCACCAAGCCAACGAUCUGUAGCUGGUCUGAGAGGACGACCAGCCACACUGGAACUGAGACACGGUCCAGACUCCUACGGGAGGCAGCAGUGGGGAAUUCUGGACAAUGGACGCAAGUCUGAUCCAGCCAUUCCGCGUGCAGGAUGAAGGCCCUCGGGUUGUAAACUGCUUUUGUACGGAACGAAAAGGUCUCUCUUAAUACGGGGGGCUCAUGACGGUACCGUAAGAAUAAGCACCGGCUAACUACGUGCCAGCAGCCGCCGCAG
rnacentral:rRNA from 1 species